UUAAAUGGCCGCGGUACCCUAACCGUGCAAAGGUAGCGUAAUCACUUGUCUACUAAAUAUAGACCUGUAUGAACGGCAUCACGAGGGCCACACUGUCUCCCCCCUUUAAUCAGUAAAACUGAUCCCCCCGUGAAGAAGCGGGGAUUCAAAUACAAGACGAGAAGACCCCAUGGAGCUUUAAACCAAGAGUCAACUGCUAAAUUUUAUAUCAUUAAUACCGCAAUCAUGACUCAAAGUUUUCGAUUGGGGCGACCGCGGAGCAUAACAAAACCUCCACGAUGAAAGAACAUAAAAUUCUUACCCAAGAACCACACCACAAAGGACCACAAAUGUGACAUCCAUUGACCCAAAAGCUUGAUCAACGAACCUAGUUACCCUGGGGAUAACAGCGCAAUCCAUUUCAAGAGCCCAUAUCGACAAAUGGGUUUACGACCUCGA
rnacentral:rRNA from 1 species